rnacentral:lncRNA from 1 species
CCCAUCGCGGCGGAGGGAUCCCGCCGCCUCCCGCAGCCUCCUCCCCCUUCUGCUUCUGCUUCCCCCCCCGUUCCCUUUCCCCCUUUCCCCUCUCUCUCCUGCAAGAAAAUAAUUUGACAGCGAUUUGCUGACACCGGGAAUUUUUUUUUUUUUUUUCCCCCUCCUUCUUCUUCUUUGCAUCACGGACUCGGCAAAGGCAGCGCGGCGGGCGGGGGAGGCCGUGCCGGAGGAUGAGCGCCGUACUGUAAGUGAAGUAGGACCGAGCCCGGGCAGCUCUGUAAUAAAUUAAUAUCGCAAUUGGUCCCUCCUCGCCGACACCGACAUAAGCCCCGCGCCCGGCCCCGCCGCUCCCCGCGCCCGGCCCCCGCGCCUGCACUUGUUGCAGACUUCACGCCAGUUCAGCAAGAAAAUGGUUGCUGUCUUUCCCCUCCCUCCC